rnacentral:lncRNA from 1 species
GGAGGAGUCAUUUUGGGAGUUUUGAGUGAAAUCCAGUGGCUAAAAGAAUGCAACAUACCAAUCACUCCAUUUAAGAACGAACUUCGUACAAACAUGAAUUGUCCGAUUUCAUGGACUAAUCGAUAUUGGAUUGACUUCAAAAGUUGGGGAACAUCAUAAUAUUGUGAGAGGAGUCAUUUUGUGAAAUCCAAUAGCUAAAACAAUGCA